AUUGAACGCUGGCGGCAGGCCUAACACAUGCAAGUCGAACGGUAACAGGAAACAGCUUGCUGUUUCGCUGACGAGUGGCGGACGGGUGAGUAAUGUCUGGGAAACUGCCUGAUGGAGGGGGAUAACUACUGGAAACGGUAGCUAAUACCGCAUAACGUCGCAAGACCAAAGAGGGGGACCCUCGGGCCUCUUGCCAUCGGAUGUGCCCAGAUGGGAUUAGCUUGUUGGUGGGGUAACGGCUCACCAAGGCGACGAUCCCUAGCUGGUCUGAGAGGUGGACAACCCCCGAUGGAAUGGGAAACCGGCCAGACCACUAAGGGGGGGACGAGGGGGGGAAUUUUGAAAAGGGGGGGGAAGCCUGUGGCAGCCAAGCGGGGGGUAAGAAGAAGGCCUUGGGGUUGUAAAGUUAUUUCAGGGGGGGGGAAGGGAGUAAAGUUAAACCCUUUGCUAAUUGACGUUCCCCGCAGAAGAAACCCCGGAUAACUCCGU
rnacentral:rRNA from 1 species